UACGGAGGGUGCAAGCGUUAUCCGGAUUCACUGGGUUUAAAGGGUGCGUAGGUGGAUUAGUAAGUCAGUGGUGAAAUCUCUGGGCUUAACUCAGAAACUGCCAUUGAUACUAUUAGUCUUGAAUACCGUGGAGGUCAGCGGAAUAUGUCAUGUAGCGGUGAAAUGCUUAGAUAUGACAUAGAACACCAAUUGCGAAGGCAGCUGGCUACACGAAUAUUGACACUGAGGCACGAAAAGCGUUGGGGGAUCAAACAGG
rnacentral:rRNA from 1 species